rnacentral:lncRNA from 1 species
GUACCAAACAUCUAAACUUGAUCCAUUAGAUUAGGAAUCCCAAACUUCAAGUGAUACAGAUUGUACUAGGUGUAAACAUUAUCAAAUCACCUAACCAACAAUGUUCACUUAAUAAUUAAAUCAGAUACACACCCCAUAUUGGAGUAUCCAAACUAGACUAGACCAAAUCAUGAAUCAUAAAACAAUUGAAUUAAGCUAUUAACUGCAGUAGGAAUCAACAUUUUUAUUCAAGAACUCCAAUUCAAAUUCAUAAAUCUCUACACUAAGCUCAAUCAUGCUUCGGUCCCACCAUGGUCUCAAGAGGAUUCCUGGGAAUAAUGGAAACAACGAAGACAACAGCAACAAGAAGAAGCUAUAACAGAACCCAGUAACAUGAAACCACCAGCAAAACAACUUGAAACCAACCGAUGGAACAAUAGACAAAGCAGAAAAAAACUUGAACCAGCACUUUAAAAAUCCCAAUUUAAUCCAUUUCCGAUCCAAAAGAAGAUCAACAGUUGUAUCAGUAACUCAAAACGUCAAGAUCACAAAAUAAUUCAAUGAAACAUGGGUUUCCUAUUCAGAUUUCAGCCGUUUGGUUUUCUUCUGAAUUUUCUCUUCUCUUUUUUUCUUGAAAUGCAAGAAAGUGUGUCUUUAUAGGCAAGAAAGUAGGGAAGCACUUAGGAAUCGGUUUUUGUACUUUUAGUCCUUCUCCAAUUCUCAUUUUAGCUUAGAAAUCCCUAUUGUAAUUGUCAAAUUUUCCAGAUAGUCCCCCUGUCUAGCUUCCUAAUCAGUUACCCAAAGAUUUCCUAGCUAGACUACCCAAAUUACGCCUGAACAACACUGUUAUUUAACCCUGAAACCAAAACCUAAAAUGGGUCAAGACUAAUCCAAGGCUGAAUUAAUUCAAAGACCAACCCAAACCAUAAGCCAGUUUAGACAACCCAAACCAAAAGAGUUCUCAAACUCUGAACAUAAUAGAACUUUAACAAAUAGACAAUGCUACCGAAUUCAGCAGAAACAAAAGAAAUUACUAAGCAGCUUGAAAAAUAACUUUUAGCAAAUAAAUGACUAAUUAACCUUAUUCUACCAGAAUGCUAAUCCGUCUUACUGAUUUUAGAAUCAAACUAAGGCUAAAGAGAAAAUAAAAAUCAGAACCAAAGCCCUAAACAUUAACUAGAAUAAGAAGGGAAAGGAUGGAAUGAGGCUGGUUAGAACCUGAAGUAGAUGAAAAGAUCCGGAAGAAAGGACGAAUACAUCGACGAUCGUAAAGCUUGAUAGACUUCAAACGAUUCUGACCCGACUUGAAACUAGUAUUAGUUGUAUGUUCCCUUUGAGAGCAAAUGAGCAACACUCGUUUCGAACUCAGCCGUUCAUCAGAAUUCGAGGACUCGAGAGACUUUCUUCUCCUUCAAACUCAUAUUUGAAAUAUUACGAAUUGGGGGGGUUUUGGGAAAAAUGGUGAUGGAUUAAGGUGCAGGAAGGAGUGAUGAUUGCAUGGCAAAAUUUUGGUGGGGAUUGGAGCUAUUUCGCCGGCGACCAUGGCUGAUUCGCUCAGGGACAGUGUUAUUUGGUGAGGGGGAUGAGAGAAGUGGUUCGUUUGGUCUUAGGUUCAAUUGGGGUAGUUCAGACAAUCUUAUGCUGAAUGGGGGAAGUGUUGAUAGACAUUGGAUGAGA